rnacentral:rRNA from 1 species
UACGUAGGGUGCAAGCGUUGUCCGGAAUUAUUGGGCGUAAAGAGCUCGUAGGCGGCCUGUCGCGUCGGCUGUGAAAACUCGGGGCUCAACUCCGAGCUUGCAGUCGAUACGGGCAGGCUAGAGUUCGGCAGGGGAGACUGGAAUUCCUGGUGUAGCGGUGAAAUGCGCAGAUAUCAGGAGGAACACCGGUGGCGAAAGCGGCGCGCUGGAUCUCUUCUGACGCUGAGGCGCGAAAGCCAGGGGAGCAAACGGG